UACGAAGGGGGCUAGCGUUGCUCGGAAUUACUGGGCGUAAAGCGCACGUAGGCGGCUUGGCAAGUCGGGUGUGAAACCUCCAGGCUCAACCUGGAGACGCCACUCGAUACUGCCAUGGCUAGAGUCCGGUAGGGGACCACGGAAUUCCUGGUGUAGCGGUGAAAUGCGCAGAUAUCAGGAGGAACACCGGUGGCGAAGGCGGUGGUCUGGGCCGGCACUGACGCUGAGGAGCGAAAGCGUGGGUAGCAAACAGG
rnacentral:rRNA from 1 species